GGGUGCAAAAAAUGGAAUUAGUAGGAGGAAGAGAACUUGACGAAUUAUAAAUGCUAGAGCCUAGGCAUGGCAUGUGUGGCACGUGUGACUGUUUAGAUGAAGAUGCCCACUUGUUACAUGGGGGAAUGCAAUGGUCUUAAUUUGCAUCACAAUGGAGGUGAUCUAGGCUUCUCUGAGCCUGAGACACUCUAACUGAUGCAUUUGUUGAACUUAUGUCCCAUGGACUG
rnacentral:lncRNA from 1 species